AUAAGCCUUUUUUGGUGCGGGCUCGGAGUCCAUGUCUCUGCCCCUUACCGAGCUCCAGUUACCUAGGGCCCUGAAUUUACUCCCCAGGUGGCCCCAUGUCCCAAGCCCCAAGAGGCAUGUGUGUUCCUCUUCACUGAGCCUGUGCUUCUGAGAGCUGAGUGGCACAGUCAGUGUUAUACUCUCAGGGCUGAGAGGUACCUACGAGGUGAUGGCUGUGUAUACAGGUAACAGGACAAGUGGGCUACGUUAUCCACAUCCAUCACCUCGUAGGUACCUCUCAGCCCUGAGAGUAUAACACUGACUGUGCCACUCAGCUCUCAGAAGCACAGGCUCAGUGACGAGGAACACACAUGCCUCUUGGGGCUUGGGACAUGGGGUCACCUGUGGAGUAAAUUCAGGGCCCUAGGUAACUGGAGCUCGGUAAGGGGCAGAGACAUGGACUCCGAGCAUGCACCAAAAAAGGCUUAUCUGAAAAAGAGGGGUGCAUGCGUUCGUCUGAAGUGAACCUCCCGGGUCUUCCGUGGCGGUCCAGUGGUUAAGACUCUGCGCUCCCAAUGCAGGGGGCACGGGUUCGAACCCUGGCCGGGGAUCUAAUAUCCUGCAAGCCGCACGACGUGGC